rnacentral:rRNA from 1 species
CACGUAGGGUGCGAGCGUUGUCCGGAAUUAUUGGGCGUAAAGAGCUCGUAGGCGGCUUGUUGCGUCGGCUGUGAAAACCCAUGGCUUAACCGUGGGCUUGCAGCCGAUACGGGCAGGCUAGAGUUCGGUAGGGGAGACUGGAAUUCCUGGUGUAGCGGUGAAAUGCGCAGAUAUCAGGAGGAACACCGGUGGCGAAGGCGGCUUCUUGGGCCGUUUCUGACGCUGAGGCGCGAAAGCCAGGGGAGCGAACGGG